UUUCGUUUCCUUUUCGGAUGAAAAGCAUGUACCACAUAUAUCUAAUAUUUCAAUGAUUUUCAUAUCUAGCUUUUUUGUCGGCCAUGGAUGAUAUCUACAUACUUCUCCUAUGCUUAAUAAGCUUUUUGGCUGUCGUUGUUGCUCUCUUGAUUUCAGUAAUUGUUUAUUUACUUAAACAAAAACGGAAAGCGAAAGCGCAAAAUAGAGCUCGAAGGUAUUACAGAGACAGUUUCAUGGUAAAUCAGAUGAAGCUGACGAAGAAAAAGGCACUGGAGUUGGUUUUGUUUGAUAUUAUUUUAGCUAUAUAACAUUAUUUGAUUUAUUGGAAAACUAUUAAAUUGUCAAAUCUUUUCAUAUCGAAGACAGUAGGUCCCAAAAUAAUUCCACACAUAAAUAAAAAAUGUUGUUUAGGAUUUUAAAUUUCUUCGACAUGUCUCUAUAAAAGUGUUUUUCUUUAACUCAAAUAUCAGAUAUUGAAAUCUGCUCGGAUUUGUGAUGUCAUUUUCGUGUAACUAUCCCUUUUUAUAUUUCAAUAUAAGAUUCCACUUUUACGUGAGGAUAAAGACAAUAAGGUCAUUGAGAAGAUAAGUCUAGAAAAUGAACAGAGAAGAAAAAGGAAAGAUAAUACAAAAGAGGUUGGUUCACAAACAGAAUCGAAAUCCCUGAAAACGAUAGGAACAUUGACAGAAGAAACAUUACAUCCAGUGCAAGAGAUUAAGAAAGACAAUGAUAAAAUCAUUGAUUUUAAUCCUCCAAAGGGAAAUAGAAAUCUUGGCAACACCUGUUUUUUUAAUUCUUCCUUACAGGCCUUGUAUUUUACCAAAUCAUUCAGAGAGGCAAUAACCUGUUUGAAGCCGUUAUCAAGAAAUUUUGAGAAUAUGCCGUUAACAAAAAAUGUGUCUCAACUUUUGGAGAAACAAACAAAACAAAGCGGAAACCACACAAGGGAACUGAAAGGCGUUCUGAAUGCUAUCAGAAAGAUAAAUGACCAGUUUGGGCAUGGAACACAAGAGGACAGCUAUGAACUGUUGAAUACACUACUUGGUGGACUAUUUGAUGAAAUCAAUAACGCUGAUGUAAGUUUUACUUUAAGCAUUUGUUGUAAAAUUACUCAUAUAGUUUUAUACACAAAUCGUUAAUAUCUUGCAUGAUAUAUUAAUAUAUGUUAAUGACAUGCAUGGCCUUUGUUGGUAGAUAUCAAGGAUGGAGGAAGGAGGUAAACAAAAGUUACUACUAAAAUUAUUUUCAAACUAAUAACGGACAAAUUGGUAAACAAUCUUUCCCUAAACUACAGGUGGAAGUUUAAUUGAUGUGCGGAACAUAUUCAAGGGAAUGUUUAUUGUGGUCUACGUUUAUGAUUCCUGCAACGAUGUUGAGGUAGAUUUUGAAGAGUUUACAACCCUGAGCAUUCCGAUUGUUGACCAGUCCGACGAUUGUACAGCAAUAACCCAUCAUGGGUUGAAAACGGUUACGUUGGCUUCGCCAUCAAAUGGUGUUGAACAUGGAUUAGCCGCCUUAACGCAAAUUGAAGAGUUCGAGGAACAACAACUUCCUUGCCGGAUCUGUGAUUCAAAAUAUGCGGAGGGAACGGGAAAAACCUACAAAAGAAUACUUGUGUUUCAACCUCCUCCUGUACUAGUGAUACAUAUUGACAGAUACGAAAUGAAUGGUUCAAGUAAUCUUACAAAAAACUCGAAACCAAUGUCCUAUUCUAGAAGACUUGAUGUUUCACAGUUUUGUUCAAUUGCCAAUACUACGAUGUCUAAACAAGACUAUCUUUAUGAACUAUAUGCCGUUGUAGUUCAUACAGGGGCAAUCAGUGGUGGUCAUUACUAUGCGUUUGUCAACACAACCAGAAAACAUAAUGUUGAAAGAUGGGAGCAUUUAAUUCGUAAAUCAAAUGGAGACAUUGACACUUUAAAACGGGAAGCAGAAAUUAUUUUGCAAGAAAAGCGCAAUGAAAUGAAACGAGAAAGAACAGAAGAGAUUCCCGAGGUUAAGCCUAAUUGGUACUACGUGAGCGAUCAGACAGUGACACCGGUAUCAGAGGAAGAUGUUUUAAGUCAUAAAGAUGCUUACAUCCUGUUUUAUGAAGUGCAAUAAAAAUGAUUCUAAUAAACAACCUACAUAAGAUUGUUCAGUAACAAGUCAUUCGUUUCAAAUAUUUUGACUGGAAUUUAUUUAAUCGACAAACUUCCAUUUACCAUGUACAUGUACAAAACUGGUUACCUGUGUUAAAUCACUAUUUGAGUGAAUGUCUAAAACAAUAAAAAAUGAUUCUGU
rnacentral:misc_RNA from 1 species